ACAUAGGACUUUUGCUGCAACAUUUGACAGUCUUCCUUCAAAUUGUCACUUAAUUAGACAACACGACUCCAUCCCCCAGUACAGAAGAAAGCGUGAUGAUUACUGAUGACGAUGAUGAUGACGACGACGAGGAAGAUGCUACUUCAAGUGGUGACGAACGCACCACUCGCACCACUGUGAAGAUUUCCCCUACUCCAAGACAACUUUCGGAGAGUGAGCUGUUCACCAUUAACAAGAAACGCCGACAGAGGAGGGGAUUUUCAUGAUAACUCAUGUAUAAAAACGAAUCCGUGUUAAACAUGUGUGUAAAACAAGGGUAGUUUAACCUUUAAAAAAAAAAGAUAAGUUAAGAAUAUAUGUUGGGGUGUGAUAGUGGGAAUUCGAAGCCUUCAAGAGAGGAAAAACUGUUUGCUUUAGGUAAUCUGCCUGAAGUCUCUCUCAAGCACUUUUCGUGUUCAGAUGUUCGCCUGUUUGGCUUUCAAAUUUGUCCCUGAUCAUGUUGUGAAAAUAAAUACUGUGGUUUGCUUCUGUGGACCUUAUAAGGUCGUUUACCAGCUCGCCUAUAAACAGUUGAAACAUGUGCAAUGUUCCUGAAAAAGGUAAUUAUGCGUACAAUUUUGAAGUCAAGCAAGGGCUUUAAUAUAUUGAACACCAAAAUGUUUCGAAAAGAAUUCUAGCAGGUUUAGAUUUGUUUCUUCGUUUUGAUGAUGUAGAAUAUUUAGUAGCUUUUUGGAAGUUUUAGUACAUAAAGUUUCUUAUUAAGUUACCUAUAUCUUUUAAUACAACUUUUAUUAAAUCAAUACAGACAAUGCUAAACAAUGCUGUACUGCAAAUAAGAGUAGUUCUUGGAUGACUGAUUUCUUUACUAUCUUGUA